CUGGACGAUGCCGAAGUGGUCGAGGCAUCAGUUUGUGACACUGAUCCAAGCGGGUUCGAGUCCCGUCGUUCAGCCCA
rnacentral:tRNA from 1 species